CUCUUUUUUAGUUUUCUUCAGUUUUUUUCUGCCUGUUUUAAUUUUUUUUGUUUUUUCUAUAUAUUUAGGGUGUUUUUUCUGAUAUACUUUUCUUUCUGUUUUUUUAAUUUUGUUUAUACUAUCCUUUCUCUUUUUUUAGUUUUCUUUAGUUUUUUGUCUGCCUGUUUUAAGUUUUUUUUAAGGUUUUUUUCAGUUUUUUGUUAUUUAUAUAUAUAUAUAGGUUGUUCUUUUCUGAAAUACUUUUCCUUCUUUUUUUUAUUUUGUUUAUACUAUCCUUUCUCCUUUUUAGUUUUCUUUAGUUUUUGUCUGCCUGUUUUAAGUUUUUUUUUUAGUUUUUUGAAGUUUUUUUUAGAAAUACUAAUCUUUUUAUUAGUUUUCUUUAGUUUUUUUCUGCCUGUUUUAAUUGUUUUGUUUUUUGUUUCCUUUAGUUUUUUUUUCUUCAGUUUUUUUUACCUAUUUUUUUGCCUGGCACCUCUUUCUUGAUGAGCUACUCUUAGUCUGGUCCCUCCCCCAGGACCUGCUGCCUUGGGUAACCUUUCAGAGGCAUAAAGCCCUGACAACAUAGCUCCUGGGAUCAUUGGGACACACAAACCCCUCCACCACGGUAAGGUGGUAGCUCAAGGAGGGGAAAAAACCCUCACAUGGGAGGGAAAAACCGCAAGGGUUUUUUUUUCUGUGCAAAACACCCGGUUUAGGGUGGGUUUUUGUUCUUUUUUUUCAGAAAUACUUUUCAUUUCUUUAGUUUCCUAUAGUUCUUUUUUAUUUUUCUGCCUGUUUUAAGUUUUUUUUUCAGAAAUACUGUGAUGUUUCUUUUUUUUUUAGUUUUUUUUUAUGAAUACUAUUCUUUUUCUCAGUUUUCUUUAGUUUUUUUUGUCAUUUAUAAAUAUUAAGGGUUUUCCUUUCUGAAAUACUUUUCCUUCUGUUUUUUUAUUUUGUUUAUACUAUCCUUUCUCUUUUUUAGUUUUCUUUAGUAUUUUCUACCUGUUUUAAGUUUUUUUUUUGUUUUUUUUGUUUUUUCUAUAUAUUUAGGGUGUUUUUUUCUGAAAUACUUUUCCUUCUGUUUUUUUUAUUUUGUUUAUACUAUCCUUUCUCUUUUUUAGUUUUCUUUAGUUUUUUUCUGCCUGUUUUAAGUUUUUUUUGUUUUUUCUAUAUAUUUAGGGUGUUUUAUCAGAAAUACUUUUCCUUCUGUUUUUUUUAUUUUGUUUAUACUAUCCUUUCUCUUUUUUAGUUUUCUUUAGUUUUUUUCUGCCUGUUUUAAGUUUUUUUUAGUUUUUUUAGUUUUUUAGUUUUUUCUAUAUAUUUAGGGUGUUUUUUCUGAAAUACUUUUCCUUCUGUUUUUUUUAUUUUUUUUAUACUAUCCUUUCUCUUUCUUUAAUUUUCUUUAGUUUUUUGUCUGCCUGUUUUAAGUGUUUUUUUUUAUUUUUUAAAGUUUUUUUUUAGAAAUACUAUUCUUUUUCUUCUUUUUUUAGUUUUCUUUAGUUUUAUUCUGCCUGUUUUUAAGGGUUUUUUUAGGUUUUUUUCAGUUUUUUGUUAUUUAUAUAUAUAAACAACCUGUUUUAAGGUUGUUUUUUAGUUUUUUUCUUGUUGUUAUUUAUAUAUAUUAAGGGUGUUCUUUUCUGAAAUACUUUUCCUUCUUUUUUUUCAUUUUGUUUAUAAUAUCCUUUCUCUUUUUUAGUUUUCUUUAGUUUUUUUCUGCCUGUUUUAAGUUUUUUUUUUUUUUUUUUUUCUAUAUAUUUAGGGUGUUUUUUUUCUCAAAUACUAUUCUUUUUCUCCUUUUUUUAGUUUUCUUUAGUUUUAUUCUGCCUGUUUUUAAGGUUUUUUUUUAGUUUUUU